rnacentral:rRNA from 1 species
AUGGCUGGUGUUCUAACGUGGGCCCCUAAUCGGGGUUGCGGACAGUGUCUGGUGGGUAGUUUGACUGGGGCGGUCUCCUCCUAAAGAGUAACGGAGGAGCACGAAGGUCAGCUAAUCCUGGUCGGACAUCAGGAGGUUAGUGCAAUGGCAUAAGCUGGCUUGACUGCGAGCGUGACGGCGCGAGCAGGUGCGAAAGCAGGUCAUAGUGAUCCGGUGGUUCUGAAUGGAAGGGCCAUCGCUCAACGGAUAAAAGGUACUCCGGGGAUAACAGGCUGAUACCGCCCAAGAGUUCAUAUCGACGGCGGUGUUUGGCACCUCGAUGUCGGCUCAUCACAUCCUGGGGCUGAAGUAGGUCCCAAGGGUAUGGCUGUUCGCCAUUUAAAGUGGUACGCGAGCUGGGUUUAGAACGUCGUGAGACAGUUCGGUCCCUAUCUGCCGUGGGCGCUGGAGAAUUGAGGGGGGCUGCUCCUAGUACGAGAGGACCGGAGUGGACGCAUCACUGGUGUUCGGGUUGUCAUGCCAAUGGCAUUGCCCGGUAGCUAAAUGCGGAAGAGAUAAGUGCUGAAAGCAUCUAAGCACGAAACUUGCCCCGAGAUGAGUUCUCCCUGACUCCUUGAGAGUCCUGAAGGAACGUUGAAGACGACGACGUUGAUAGGCCGGGUGUGUAAGCGCAGCGAUGCGUUGAGCUAACCGGUACUAAUGAACCGUGAGGCUUAACCUU